CACAAUUGACUGUACUCUGGCUAUUUGAAAUCAAUUAUCAAACUACAAAACACCAAGGCUUACUACUUCCGUCUUAAUUCAAUCCAUAAUCUAUUCUACGAAUAUAAAUUCAAUAAUACUUUCAUAUUCUUAUUUGUCCAUCUCCUACUUAUUCUCUUUGUAGUUUAGAUAUAUUCAAUUAUUGAUCUCUACCUUACCUAUUGUAUU
rnacentral:lncRNA from 1 species